AUUGAACGCUGGCGGCAUGCCUUACACAUGCAAGUCGGACGAGUGGCGAACGGGUGAGUAACGCAUCGGAACGUACCGAGUGAUGGGGGAUAACUGCCGGAAAGGGCAGCUAAUACCGCAUAUUAUUAGAUCGGCCGAGGUCGGAUUAGCUGGUUGGUGGGGUAAAGGCUCACCAAGGCGACGAUCAGUAGCGGGUCUGAGAGGAUGAUCCGCCACACUGGGACUGAGACACGGCCCAGACUCCUACGGGAGGCAGCAGUGGGGAAUUUUGGACAAUGGGCGCAAGCCUGAUCCAGCCAUGCCGCGUGUCUGAAGAAGGCCUUCGGGUUGUAAAGGACUUUUGGCAGGGAAGCGUUACCUGAAGAAUAAGCACCGGCUAACUUCGUGCCAGCAGCCGCGGUAAUAC
rnacentral:rRNA from 1 species